GGCUCAAUGGUCUAGUAGCAUGAUACGUGCUUCGGGUGUACGUGACCCGGGUUCAAUUCCCGGUUGAGCCC
rnacentral:tRNA from 2 species